GCCGCCAUUUUGUAUCCAGUUUUAUUAGCGCGGCCGCUGAGCUGUCUCCUCGUACCCACAAACUGGAAUAUUAAUGUGGCUUCUGAGAGACUGAAUGCCUUUUAGAGCAUAUUACUUGUCUUCUUGCAACACAUAGGCUACUACGAAGAACUGUGGGGCAGUAAAACGUUUUCCAUCCCGACAACAAGAAGUCAUUGAGGACACAAGUUCCCAGUCCAACUUUCCUCUGGUGUCCGACGCGGGCUAAAAAUCAAAAGCCGAGUGCAGCACGUCGUCCAGGUCUCGCCAGCACUUCACCGCUGCAGUCGAAUAAAUCCAACUUUGAAAUACACACAGCCCUUUCCAGAAGAACUCAACCAACAGCUUGUCAGGGGUAACAUGAUGGCGGUGGAGAUGUAGAGAGGGCAAGAUAGACGUGUAAGGCCUGGAGCGAUUCAUCACGCUCGUCUUACUGGAAUCUUCAAAGAUAAGAGACCAUCUGCUGCAGCUAUUCGUCAACUAUAAAAUGGAGAGGCGUGAAACCCGGCCAACUCAACAUACUGAGGCUGGAUGGCUAACGGGUGUUGCAGGAGCGUGGAGAUGCUUUGUUAAUAGGAAACAGGAACAGUUUGGGCAUUUCUGUCAAUACCAGGCUGCCUGCUAAGUGGCGUGAUGUGUCUCCCUGUGCAGGGAGGGGGGAACGCAUAGUAAAACAGAGGCAGAGAAAAAGAACAGGAUAACACGCGCUGUGAUAGGCCUCAUGGGCAAGGGGCCCAAUUUUGCAUGUAUACAAAUCGUCCAAAAGACAAAAGACUUUUUGUCGUUCCUCUAUGACUUCAUGGUAUAUUCACGAUUUCCAUGGGACCACGAGACUUCUGUAGGGUUUGAUCAGAGUGACUAUGAGGAACGAUACUCACGAGCAGUGUUGGGCAGUACCAUCUUAUUUAAUAAUGUGUUUUAGUAAUGUGAUUACUUUUUUUUCACUACCGAGUGGUACAAAGGAUUGUAAUUUGGAAUUCAGUAAUUACAUUACAGUUAGGCUACUAAUUCCUGUAACUAUAUGGGGGUCGACUUGUUCACUGUCUUAACAGGCAUUUAAUGCAUGGUUGACAUCAGUUUGGUCUAACACACUGCAUUUAGGAUUUGUUGUUAGGUUUAAUUUUGACCAUUAAACAGGAUGUGGCCCUUACCUGAAUCCCUCAGUCGCUCCACUCUUUCCCCACAGCAUAGCUCACACUUGCCGGGUGGUUGGGGCCAGCCCGCUCUGGUCCUCUUCUCGUGUCACCAUCCCUACACUGAGCUUGCCGUUGGUUUCAAUUCAUUUAGGUUAAUUAACAAAUCAAUUCAGCCAGAAACUAAACCAAAAUACUUAAAGGAAAUGGUCCCUCUCUCUCUCUCUCUCUCUCUCUCUCUCUCACUCUCUUUCUUUUUUGGCACCUGCCCUCUGACAGACUUAUAUUAGAGAACCUCCAUCUUGUUUGGCAGCCAAUCUAAUGACAAAUCCUAACCAUGACACCAGUAACUCCAAGGUUGUUGUAUUUACAUGUUGUGUGUUCUUAGCUGGUUUGCUAACACGACCCACUGGGAAGCUUACAUUCAGGAAUCACCUGGCUAUGUUCAGAGUUGGAGUUUGUGUAAACCAUGCAGCUUUACUGUGAGGAUGGGCUAACGUUAAGCUAGCUGCCAGUAAAUACUUCCAAAUCGUA